CGCGGUGAAUACGUUCCCGGACCUUGUACACACCGCCCGUCAAACAAUGGAAGCUGGGGGUGCCUGAAGUCGGUAACCGUAAGGAGCUGCCUAGGGUAAAACUAGUAACUGGUGUU
rnacentral:rRNA from 1 species